AGUGAACGCUGGCGGUAGGCCUAACACAUGCAAGUCGAACGGCAGCACAGUAAGAGCUUGCUCUUACGGGUGGCGAGUGGCGGACGGGUGAGGAAUACAUCGGAAUCUACUUUUUCGUGGGGGAUAACGUAGGGAAACUUACGCUAAUACCGCAUACGACCUACGGGUGAAAGCAGGGGAUCUUCGGACCUUGCGCGAUUGAAUGAGCCGAUGUCGGAUUAGCUAGUUGGCGGGGUAAAGGCCCACCAAGGCGACGAUCCGUAGCUGGUCUGAGAGGAUGAUCAGCCACACUGGAGCUGAGACACGGUCCAGACUCCUACGGGAGGCAGCAGUGGGCAAUAUUGGACAAUGGGCGCAAGCCUGAUCCAGCCAUACCGCGUGGGUGAAGGAGGCCUUCGGGUUGUAAAGCCCUUUUGUUGGGAAAGAAAAGCAGCAGGUUAAUACCCCGCUGUUCUGACGGUACCCAAAGAAUAAGCACCGGCUAACUUCGUG
rnacentral:rRNA from 1 species